UGGAGGGCUACAGUCCAUGGGGUUGCGAAGAGUCAGACAUGACUGGGCAACUAAGUGCGUGCGCACAUACACACACACAUGGCAACUAAGCGUGCACACACACAGGAAGAACCCACCUGGGCAACUAAGUGCACACACAUAUGCGUGCACACACACACACACGGGAAGAACCCACUUGCCAAUACAGGAGAUGGCACUUGGUUUGAUCCCUGGGUCAGGAAGAUCCUCUGCAUGGGGACAGCAUGCUAUCCCACUCCAAUACUCUUGCCUGGAGAAUCCCACAGACAGAGGAACCUGGUGGGUUACAGUCCAUGGGGUCGCAAAGAGUCCAACACAACUGAAGUGAUUUAGCAUGCACCCACGUACUUAGGAGAAAUCCAAGUGUUUAUAUAGAGUCCCUCGAGAGUCAAAUAUAGUAGAAAACUAGUGUAAGGACGGUAAACAACAGAAAGACACUUCUGGAUGUAGAUACAUGUGGUACUUGAUAUUAAGGACUACUAGUCUUUUAUUUAACUUCCUGUGGACACUGUAUAGUGAAACUCAGGGCUGACAACCUACAGGAAUUUUUUCUCACCCUGUGAUUGGAUAGUAAGUAGCAAGUGUACUGGAAAUUAGGGUUUUCACCUUAAUUCACGAAAUUAAGAUCCUGAUCAAGUUGUGAUACAGGAAGAGAUAGACCAGCUUUUUUCCUUCAGUAUGCUGUUCCCUCAGUCGGUGAAGAAUCCGCCUGAAAUGCAGAAGACCUGGGUUCAAUCCCUGGGUUGGCCAAGAUCCCCUGGAGGAGGGCACGGCAACCCACUCCAGUAUUCUUGCCUGGAGAAUCCCUAUGGACAGAGGAGUCUGGCAGGCUACAGUCCAUGGAGUCACAAAGAGUUGGACACUACUGAGCGACUAAGCACACAUAACAUUCCCUAGUAUUGUCAGAGCAAAACAGAUGGUUUGUCACCUCUGUAAGUUAUGUUAGAAAUAUAACCUUAAUAUUAGGGGGGAUAAAAAGAUACUUUCCUUACUCUUUUAUGUAUAAUGUUUCUGGUUGGUGAAACUCAGUGGAGAUGUUGAGACUGAAAUAUUAUUGGUGGAGGCCAGAUAAUACAAGACUUUGCAGGCCCUUUGAUUUAGUUCCUGAGUAUCCUUUCCUCUCAUAGUGCAAGUAGUUUAGUUGCUUUUAAGUCUUUGUACCUUAAUAAACUAAAAGUGACUUCCCACAUGGUACAGUGGUAAAGAAUCCACCUGCCAAUGCGGGAGACACAAGAGUCUCGGGUUCAAUCCCUGGGUCAGGAAGAUCCCCAGGAGGAGGAAAUGGCAACCCACUCCAGUAUUCUUGCCUGGGAAAUCCCGUGGACAGAGGAGCCUGG